UCAAGUACAAACCCUAGCUUGCUAUCUAUCAUUGAUCUUGUUAGACAGCUUGGGUUUAUUGUUCUUGUGUUCUUGUCCGGUUACUUUAUCCUACAGUGGUAUUCGAGCGGGACAUAAGCAUGGACUGUGAUUCAGUGUGAAAAAAUGGCAUCUUCGAGUGACCGAUCGUUGAUUCAUGUCUUCACCAGCGUCGACUACACCUCAUGGAAGGUAAAGAUGAAAACGUUUCUCAUGUCGGAAGGUUUGUGGCACAUUGUGACGAAUGGGUAUACAAAACCCACUGAUCAGAGCGCAUUGAAGACUGAUGAAAAGAAAGAAGUUGACAAUACCAUAAUGGCUCAUGCCAAGGCCUUGACUAGGCUUCAGAAUGGUGUAGGAGGCACGAUCUUCUCUCGUAUUAUUAGGGCUUUAAAAGCUAAAGAGGCUUGGGAUAUCCUUGCUAAGGAAUUUGAAGAGGACAAUCGCACCAUUGUUAUCAAGCUACAAAACUUGAGACGAGAAUUUGAAAAUCUGCAAAUGCAAGAGAAAGAGGUGGUGAAGGAUUUUUAUGACAAAGUGAUAGAUACAGUGAAUUAGAUGCGGACCUUGGGAGAGGAGGUCACAAAUGAGAAGGUCGUUUAGAAGAUGCUUAUCAGUCUACCUGAGAGGUAUGACAUUAUGGUAGUUGCACUUGAGGAAUCUAAGGAUUUGACUACGUUGAAGCCUGAGGAACUAGUGGGUUCCUUGGAAACUCAUCAACAAAGGAGACAGAGGCAUGGAGACCAUAAUCAAUCUGUGGAGUCAGCUUUCCAAGCAAAACUUACUUUCAGAGAUGAUUCAAAAAGGGGAAAGCCACCUCACUGGAAGGGCACUGAAAAAGAUAUCAGUUUGUUAAAGAUGCGGUUGAAGGAGUUAUCAGCUUGGUGUUCUACAGAAGUGAAGAGCAGUGGGCAGACUUAUUUACUAAAGCUUUGCCAAGGGUCAAAUUCUGUUAUCUAAGAUCUCUUAUUGGGGUGAUCCAAAAAUGCAAGCCAGGAGGAGUGUUGAAUGACUUGCAUUGUAUUUAAUUAAGUAUGAUUAUGUUUUUCAUUAUCAUCUUUAUGUACCUAUUGUUAUGUCCUAAUGACCAAGGGU